UAAUCAAGUGUUUUUAUGGCACUUUCAAAAAUCCAUAUCCACCUUGUGUGCAAUGUCAGUCGAUCUUCUUCAUGGAGAUCGACCAAACAUCAACCUUUAUUUUUUAACUCUUUGUCUGAAAAAUAUUAUGAAUAAACAAUUCAAAAUA
rnacentral:misc_RNA from 1 species